AAGAGACAGGCCCAGCGUGGGCGGCACUGGCAAGGGGGGUCUCCACUCUCCACUGCCCUCAACCCGUGCAGGCUAAGGGGGCUCCCAGGGCAGGGGUCCACCUCCACCAUUACGGGCUGUCUGACCGUAUGCAUGUGGCAUUUUUCGUUCAUAAGCUUCACCCGCCGCCCAGCCCACAUCCACCUCCCCGCCUCCCACCCCUGGCCACCCCUCAAGGCCAGAGCAUAUUUAUUUUCGGAGUGAGCAGGUUAUUUCUCCCAGAGAAAGAAAAAUCUUGGGAAAGAUUUUAAAACUCGGAUCUAAGUCUUUGACAGUGGUUUUUUUUUUUUUUUUUUUUCCUUUUUACCCUUUCUCCCCCUCCCUUCUCAUCCUUUUCAGGGUUUAUUUCCAUGAAUUUUUUUUUCUAGUGCGUGUAUAAAAUCAAAACGAAGGGAAAAAAAUAGGUUUUUGAAGUUCAGAACCAACUUUGUAUAUAGACUGCCAUAAAGGACUUUUUCUCGGGAACUUGUUUCUUGUAGAAACAUGUGGGAAGACUUUUGCUCAUUUCUUUGUACUUCCAAAAAAAAAAAAAAAAAAAAAAGACACGAAUGCAAGUCCCCCGCCCCCUGGAAAGCAGAGCAGGCGUGUAAAUAAUCUCUGGAACUGACUGUUGUGACCCAGGUGCUCACCAAGGGGAGCGCUGGGUGGGAGCCGCGCCCACCGCGGCCCAGGCUGCCAGCCUCUGGUAUCUCAGCUUGUGUCAAGCUUGUUAUCAUGUAAAUUCUGUACAAAGAAUUGUUAUUUUUCUCUUUUUUGUCGUUGUGGUUUUGUUGUGUGUGUGUGUGUGUGUGUGUGGUUUCUUUUUUUUUUAAUUUCUUCACCGCAGGCCCUCUGUUUGAGACUGUGCCCACCGGUUCCAAGGUCAAGGAAAUCGAUGGCAUUAAGACAGGGGGGCACCUGGACACAGCGGCGACCUUCUCUUCCGUUUGCAGUUUUCUGCCUAAUGGUGCAACCGAGGAAAUAUUUAUUUUUCACAUGAGGAAAUGUGUAGUUUGUAGAGAGAGCCGAUUUAAGUUACUUGUGCAGCCCCCAAGGGGCUGCCUCCAUUCUCCCCUCCGCCUCCAUAAAAGAAAAGUGGGGGAUGUGAGGAAUCCAGGGAGGGCCCACCUCGGCCCUUGCUGUGCCUCCCCUCGCCCAGCAAGGAGGCUGUGUUAAUGCUUGGCCAGCCUUGACCAAUGGCGAGGGACUGGGCCCCCAUCUUCCCCAGGACCCCCACCCCACACCAGGAUGCUUUGCAAUAAUCCACAUGUGUGUUGGCCCAUUUUUCUCUCAAAGCCUUUGUUUUCAUUGAACAGAUUCUCUGCUUUUGAAGUGUUGGGGGUUUCUGCUUUUUUUUUCCUUUUCUCUGCCUUCUCCCCUCUUUCUUCUUUCCCUCCCCCCGCAAAGAGAAUAAGUUUUAGAGAUGUUUGUACGUAUAGACUCUGUCAUCCAUCAGUAUGUAACUUGUUUUGAAGAGAAGUGUUUCCGUUGUGGGUGUGUCUUGCUGUAAAUAUUUGUUCAUAUUUUUGUGAAUUCAAUACUAUGUACCAUUGUAUUAUAGUAACUUUUAUAAAGCAAACCAUAAAUAUACUGACUUUUCUUACAGAUACGCCGUCUCUCUUGCUCUCCUCUCUCUCCCU
rnacentral:lncRNA from 1 species